rnacentral:siRNA from 1 species
UUUCAUCCUCUAGCAUAUCCAUC